AGUAGCAGUAGCAGUAGUAGUAGCAGUAGCAGUAGCAGUAGCAGUAGCAGUAGCAGUAGUAGUAGCAGUAGUAGUAGCAGUAGCAGUAGCAGUAGUAGUAGUAGCAGUAGUAGUAGCAGUAGUAGUAGUAGUAGCAGUAGCAGUAGUAGUAGCAGUAGUAGUAGUUCAUUCCUAAAGCUUGCAAUAACAAUUUAUGCUAGUAGCUUUCUGACUACAGAUUAGAGCAGGAGUAUUCAAGUGGUGAAACAGAUGUCUCCUCCUCCUCAUCAUCAUCAUCAUCAUCAUCAACACUUCCUUCAUACUUGGCAUGUUCGUUCUGCUAUUUGUUAUUCUCCCUUUUAAUUGAUAACACUGAACUAUACAAUAAAAAAACCAAAAAACAAAAACAUUAAGAACAUCAAAAAACCCAGAUUUGCCUCCUCCAAUGUCUGGAGUCAGGUGUGCGUAGACUCCGCCCUCUGCUGGGGCUAAUCCAAUGGGUUGCAAGCAUCGUUCAGAAUAUUGCAGAUGAAACUGUGGGCUAUAGAACAGACCUGGGCUGUUAUCAGGUAGAACAUACCUCUGAUUUAUGCUCUAUUUUGCCCCGCUGCCAUACCCCCUUGUGUUUGAUGCUUGGUCUCCUCGUUAUGGUAACAGACAAAGCACCUAAUGUUUUUUGGCAAGAAUCUUCCUCUUAAGUGAGACAAGGUGGCUCGACACAGACAGAGCCGAGUGACUAAGACUAGUUUUACCUGAGAAAUGAUUCAAAUGUAACUCAACAAACUAAAAUAACCGAAUAAAACAAACGUAUCAAACUUAGUCACAUCACCUAUCAUUUGGACACCUUCAGAAAGCUAUUACUGCAUAUUAUACCAGAUGGAACGCUGGGAUUAAAUGCAGCUAAUGUACAUGGGUUGGCUGGAUAACCAAGGUAGCAUACAAUGAAUACUUCUAAAUGCUGUUAAGUGUUGCUAGUCUUGUUCAUUGUCCUUUACAACACUCCUAAAACAGACAACUAAAUCAAAAGGAGA
rnacentral:lncRNA from 1 species